rnacentral:rRNA from 1 species
CCUACGGGAGGCAGCAGUGGGGAAUAUUGCACAAUGGGGGAAACCCUGAUGCAGCAACGCCGCGUGAGUGAUGACGGUCUUCGGAUUGUAAAACUCUGUCUUUGGGGACGAUAAUGACGGUACCCAAGGAGGAAGCCACGGCUAACUACGUGCCAGCAGCCGCGGUAAUACGUAGGUGGCAAGCGUUGUCCGGAAUUAUUGGGCGUAAAGCGCGCGCAGGUGGUUCUUUAAGUCUGAUGUGAAAGCCCACGGCUCAACCGUGGAGGGUCAUUGGAAACUGGGGAACUUGAGUGCAGAAGAGGAAAGUGGAAUUCCAAGUGUAGCGGUGAAAUGCGUAGGGAUUUGGAGGAACACCAGUGGCGAAGGCGACUUUCUGGUCUGUAACUGACACUGAGGCGCGAAAGCGUGGGGAGCAAACAGGAUUAGAUACCCUGGUAGUCCACGCCGUAAACGAUGAGUGCUAAGUGUUAGAGGGUUUCCGCCCUUUAGUGCUGCAGCUAACGCAUUAAGCACUCCGCCUGGGGAGUACGGCCGCAAGGCUGAAACUUAAAGGAAUUGACG